rnacentral:rRNA from 1 species
UACAGAGGUCUCAAGCGUUGUUCGGAUUUACUGGGCGUAAAGCGCACGUAGGCGGAUUGGUCAGUUAGGGGUGAAAUCCUGGAGCUCAACUCCAGAACUGCCUUUAAUACUGCCAAUCUCGAGUCCGGAAGAGGUAAGUGGAACUCCUAGUGUAGAGGUGGAAUUCGUAGAUAUUAGGAAGAACACCAGUGGCGAAGGCGGCUUACUGGUCCGGUACUGACGCUGAGGUGCGAAAGCGUGGGGAGCAAACAGG